rnacentral:tRNA from 1 species
UAGCUCAGGGUAGAGCACAUGCUUAGCAUGCACGAGGUCCUGGGUUCAAUCCCCAG